rnacentral:rRNA from 1 species
GAUCCUGGCUCAGGAUGAACGCUAGCUACAGGCUUAACACAUGCAAGUCGAGGGGAAACGACAUCGAAAGCUUGCUUUUUGAUGGGCGUCGACCGGCGCACGGGUGAGUAACGCGUAUCCAACCUGCCCAUCACUUGGGAAUAACCUUGCGAAAGUAAGACUAAUGCCCAAUGAUAUCCCACGAAGGCAUCCGAAUGGGAUUAAAGAUUUAUCGGUGAUGGACGGGAGGUGCGGUCUGAUUAGUCG